CUGAAAGGGCAGAACUACUGCAGCAGCAACAUCUGGGGGAUAUCGGACUGUGACAAACCCCAUCCACUUUGUUCUCCAGCAUCAGCAAAGCAACUUGUAUCUACAUAUUUCAAAACUGACUAAGAAGUGCUGAUUAUCUUAGACAAGCCUAAUAUACAGAUAAGAACAAACCUCAGAACACUCUUUCAAUGCACUGAGAGAAGCUCAGGUUAAAGGAUGGCUCUUAGGGAAUGAGAGGAGGCUGCAGCACCACUCAAACCUUUCUUGUGCUUCCAAGCUCCUACCUGAGAGCUCCAGCCAGUGCAGUCUCCAGGGAUAUUCCUGAAGAUCCAGCUGCUGCAGCUCUGCGACUCUUUCCUGUUCUCUUUCAAAGAAGGUUCGUCUCUGCUGUCCAUCCUGGUAGUCUCUGGCACAGACUGGCCUCUGUCCAUGCUGCCAGACUGCUGCUGGGCCCCUUGGCUCAGGUCAGAAUGAAAAAACCUCAUUUUUAUUUCUCAAUGGAGCACCAUCACCAACUAUAAACUCACAUAUUAUUCUUGCUGGAAAGCUGAUGUUUCUGUUACUUGACUGUUUUAGCAGCUAAACCUUAAACUUACAAAGAUUUAACAUUCCCAGUAUGAAAAUUGGCUUAAUGGGAAAAGGACUCAUAUCCUAAAAAGAGGAGCAAAUUAUUAUACUUCUUUUUUAGGCCCUUGCAACACAUUCGUUAUCCUUUUCUUGCAGUAGACAAUUCUUCAAACCCCAAACAGUUUUUAAAACCAAGGUUGAAGUUAAUUUUAUCAACCAGGUGUCUUAGCGAGUGCCCUCCCUGUUUGGACAUUAUUUCUGUGAAGCUAUGACUGAGUUUACAGGCUUAGCAAGGCCAUAAGUGAUUUGCUUUAUACAACUAUUCAGUAUUGCCCUCCACACCAAUAAUCCUUUAGUAUAAUAAAAUACAUGUCUUCUCUUCUUUACUAGAAGUUAUAGAGAAGUCUUCUGAUCAUCCAGCUAUGAAAAACACCAUGACUGGUUCUGCCCAGAAGCUGCAUGAAUACAUGUGGAGCAGAAAAGUUGCUCUUUAUAGCCAGCUGUAAAAUUCUUUCAAGCUCUGUGAAUGUUUAAGCCUGAGAAGGCUUUUCUCACCAAGAUGUAGAAUAGCUUCAGCAUACCAGCCUUCAGCAGUGUGUAUGAGUCAAGAUUUCACUCCUACCCUACACUUUACUGGUGAAACUCAAAGCCAGCCAGCCCAUUUCAAGAAGAAAAAUGGCAUUUGGUUCCAGUAAGCAUCCACAGAACACACUCCAGAUUUGACAAUCGUUGUAAUUAGUUGCUUUUGUGUGUUUAGUACACAGUGCAAAUGCUGUAAAAUGUUUUUCACAUGAUGCAACAUUGCUAGCAGAUAAUCACUGGAGCAGUAAACCAAAAGAAUUUGUGUAUAUCCUACAAGCUGCAGGAGGAUAAGAAAAUAUAAACAAAAACUAACAGCUGAAUUUUUUCCUUUUUUUUUUUUAAACUGAUUUGGUUUUAGAUGUUACUUUUUGUCAGUUGCUCUAGAAAUUGAUUAGAAAACCCUAAACCAAUGUUGUGAAAACACUUUUGUUUCUGUCCUAGUUUUGACUGUGUGAAUCUUUUUUAGAAUAUUUUCAGUUUAAUUAUGCAGCAUUAAAAAUUGCAAUUAAACUGAAUUUGCAAUUGACACUGCUCAUUUUAGUUAACUGUCAAAUUUACUAUGGCAUUGUGAAAUAGGGGCCUUUAUUAUUAUGAGGUGUUUUGAAAAAAAUUACUUUUUAAACAGGAGAAAAAUGUCAUGUCCCUCAGUCUUAUCCCAAUGAACCAAGAAUUUAAAGUGAUACCCGACCAGUGAAGCUGGUAACUCUAGCCACAAUGGAGUUUCUUCCAGGUGAUGUCUUAAAAUACUGGUAAAAUUACAAGUAUGGACAGUAUUGAAUAAAGUCUUCUUUUUGUGUGUUUAAUAUCUUUUGUGAAAUGUGUUUUUCAAAGGUAGGUGGAAGGCUAAAGUUGCUUUAAAGUAGUCUAGUGAUAAUCUACUUGUCUUAGGGAUAUUUGACAUGCCCUGUUUUGCAGGAUGCUAUGAUGCAAUUUGAUGGAUAUUGUGUAUUAUAUGAGACUGUACGAAUCUUAAUAUCUCUGUUCCUCUGUUUUAGCAUGUGAUGUACAGCUCUGUGUACAUAGAGCAGCUCAGACGAGUGUCUGAGACUACCCUUUUCCUCUAAGCCCUAGGCAUUUUUAUCACUGUGCCAAUAAAAGGAAGGGGAUUUAUGGGGUACUGCUUUUUAAUUCAUUCAAUUCUCUGUUCAU